UGGGUUGGUCGGAUCCCUGCUUGUGCAGCGACGACCGCUCUUACAUCCCUUUUCAUUCAUUCUUCAAGAGCGAUAAGCCUUGGAGCAAUUCGGUUGCCUGUGUUUUAUACCUACGUUGAUGGAAUUUGCUCGUCCAAUCUCCCUUAUUCACCUUGUGCUGCUUACGCGGUGCGGGAUGAACCACGCAGUGUCCUUUUUUGUCUGUUCUUGCCUCGCAUUCGUGCGACUCAUGAAACGGCCAAUGUUGUGGCACUCGAAUUCUCGGAUACGGAACCUUAAGUGGGCAUCCGGCCUUUGGCCUUGAUUUGCCCAAACUGAGCGUUCUCGCUUCUUAAGAACGAUUGUCGAGCCCGUUUUGACCUGAGGAUACUUUUGGUCUGACUGGAUCAUGCGGUGCCGACGUCGAAGAGGAAUGCUAC
rnacentral:misc_RNA from 1 species